AUGGAUGCAAUGAUUGGAACGGAUCAAAUCAAUACCAUGUUUUGGGAGAGAAUUACCAACCACUACAGCACCUCCGUGGAUGUGCGAUCAGCCAUACGCAAGGUUCUCUUGGGCAUCGUUGGAGCACCAUUCAUGACCAAUGCAGCCGAUGGUCCGGUUGCAUCAACCAAGUGGAUCAACCGAAUGGUGUGCAAGUGGCGGAGUAUGGCCCCUACAUCCAAGAACUAUUCAAGAAUAGGAACACCAAGUUCGACCACAAGCCCUUCAUCUUGCAUCAUUGCUACAAAGAGCUAUGCAAGAACGAGAAGUGGACCCAAAUAA
rnacentral:rRNA from 1 species